rnacentral:rRNA from 1 species
GACGAACGCUGGCGGCGUGCUUAACACAUGCAAGUCGAACGAGAAUCUACGGAUCGAGGAUUCGUCCAAGUGAAGUAGAGGACAGUGGCGGACGGGUGAGCAACGCGUGAGGAACCUGCCUUUCAGAGGGGGACAACAGUUGGAAACGACUGCUAAUACCGCAUGACACAUUGGGGUCGCAUGGCUCUGAUGUCAAAGAUUUAUCGCUCUGAGAUGGCCUCGCGUCUGAUUAGCUAGUUGGUGGGGUAACGGCCCACCAAGGCGACGAUCAGUAGCCGGACUGAGAGGUUGGCCGGCCACAUUGGGACUGAGACACGGGCCCAGACUCCUACGGGAGGCAGCAGUGGGGAAUAUUGGGCAAUGGGCGCAAGCCUGACCCAGCAACGCCGCGUGAAGGAAGAAGGCUUUCGGGUUG